rnacentral:rRNA from 1 species
GAUCGCUGUGAUGCGGGCGGUUCGCCGCCCGUGACUCUGCGAGAAGUCCAUUGAACCUUAUCAUUUAGAGGAAGGAGAAGUCGUAACAAGGUUUCCGUAGGUGAACCUGCGGAAGGAUCAUUGUCGAGACUGAAAUACAUUGAGCGAUUUAGAGAACCGAUCAAAACAAGCGGUGGCUAUUACAUCCGCUAUAAAAGCCAUCCCAUUCUUCACCUCAUCCCCUUGGGGGCGGGGUCGUGAAUCGGGGUGGAUGAACACUCAAACCGGCGCAACAUCGCGCCAAGGUAUAUAUCAAAAAGCGAGCCGUCAAAAGGGUUUCGUGGCAAGGGGUGAUGUUGCAUGCCCUAAGGAUUGACAUGACUCUCGGCAAUGGAUAUCUCGGCUCUCGCAUCGAUGAAGAGCGCAGCGAAAUGCGAUAUGUGGUGCGAAUUGCAGAAUCCCGCGAACCAUCGAGUCUUUGAACGCAAGUUGCGCCCGAGGCCAAACGGACAAGGGCACGUCUGCCUGGGCGUCAAGCAUUAUGUCGCUCCGAGUUAGCACCAUACCAUCGAUGGAUGGGUUGGACAAGGCUUGGAUGUGCAGAGUGGCUCAUCGUUCCCUUUGGAGCGGUGGGUUGAAGAGUAGGUCAUCAUCUCGUUGGCUGCGAUCAAUAAGGGGUGGAUUAAAAUGAGUCCUGUGUUAUUGUCUCGUGUAUGCCUGAGAGGAGAUUAUACAUACUCAUGUGAUCCCAAAUCAUGCGCCGAUCCAUGGAUGGUGUUUCGAAUGCGACCCCAGGAUGGGCGGGGCUACCCGCUGAGUUUAAGCAUAUCAAUAAGCGGAGGAGAAGAAACUUACGAGGAUUCCCCUAGUUUAAGCAUAUCAAUAAGCGGAGGAGAAGAAACUUACGAGGAUUCCCCUA